rnacentral:rRNA from 1 species
UGGGGAAUUUUGGACAAUGGGCGAAAGCCUGAUCCAGCAAUGCCGCGUGUGUGAAGAAGGCCUUCGGGUUGUAAAGCACUUUUGUCCGGAAAGAAAUCCUCUGGGUUAAUACCUCGGGGGGAUGACGGUACCGGAAGAAUAAGCACCGGCUAACUACGUGCCAGCAGCCGCGGUAAUACGUAGGGUGCAAGCGUUAAUCGGAAUUACUGGGCGUAAAGCGUGCGCAGGCGGUUUUGUAAGACGGAUGUGAAAUCCCCGGGCUUAACCUGGGAACUGCAUUCGUGACUGCAAGGCUAGAGUAUGACAGAGGGGGGUAGAAUUCCACGUGUAGCAGUGAAAUGCGUAGAGAUGUGGAGGAAUACCGAUGGCGAAGGCAGCCCCCUGGGCCAAUACUGACGCUCAUGCACGAAAGCGUGGGGAGCAAACAGGAUUAGAUACCCUGGUAGUCCACGCCCUAAACGAUGUCAACUAGUUGUUGGGGACUUCAUUUCCUUAGUAACGUAGCUAACGCGUGAAGUUGACCGCCUGGGGAGUACGGUCGCAAAGAUUAAAACUUAAAGGAAUUGACGGGGUCAUAGCUGUUUCCU